rnacentral:lncRNA from 1 species
CAGAAGAGAUGGAAAGGUGAACCGCUGGUGCAGGAGCCUGGGCCCCCCGGAGGAGUCUGAGCUCAGGGGCUCCGAGGGAAUGGCUGCGUGUGAUAGGAGCUGAGCAAAGAACGUUGACACACAGGCCCCUCCGUGAAUCUGCUUCGGGUCCUGGCCAGCCCUGGGAUCCUCACCUGUGUUCCAUUCCCACCUGAGAGCUUCCUUUUGUACCGUAGCAUCCUCACUGUAAGUCCCUUCAUCCCAGCAUCCUCAGCGUGGCUCUGCCUCAGCAACAGCAAAAUCACCCACAACCAGCCAGAGCUAGUUAGCGCUGUUCUGCCAGCUGCUCUCCUGGACUCUGGGGUCCCCCAGAAGCCGAGGCCCCACAGAAGCCCAUUUCAGAUCCUGCUUGUCUGUGAGUACUGCAGGCAGGUGCACGUUCCCCAGCCAGGGAUUCAACCCUCGCCACGGCAGCAACCUCAGCCGCUGCAGGGACGGCACUAAUCUUUCACCUGCUGCACCGCAAGAAAACUCCUCAAAUCGUGCUUUAGAUAAGAUGGACAUUUUCUGAAACGGAGAAAUGGAAAUCACUGACUGAUUCAAAGCAGCUCAUGCAACAGUGUAUUUUGUUCCCCAAAGGAAAUCAUAUCAUGAUCAUUAAAUAGGCCCUUCUAAGCACAAUAAACAUUCCGCUCUAAAAACACAGUACCUCGGCCAUCUGGUCGAGUGAGGUCAGUCAGGAAAAUGAAACUCUAAUGCGAGCACGUGCACGCCCAGUAAAAGACCCAGAAGCCUCUGGUAUUUGAGCCGAAAUGACGAUGGGGAUGACAGGGAUGUGAUUGUGUGUGUGUGUGUGUGUAUUUAUUUAUGUAUUUUUGCUUUUUAUGGACGUUCCCAGGCUAGGGGUUGAAACAGAGCUGCAGUGGCCAGCCUACACCACAGCCACGCCAGAUCCAAGCUGCAUCUGUGAUCUAUACAACAGCUAGCGGCAAUGCUUGAUCUUUAACCCACUGAGUGAGGCCAGGGACCAAACCGUGGCCUUAUGGAUACCAGUCAGGUUCUUAACUCAGUGAGCCACAACGGGAACUCCUGUUUUUUAUGAUUUUUUAUUAUAUUUUCUAAUUUUCUCCACGCACGAGUUCUGUUUCAGUAAAUACAUAUAAUAAAAUAAAAAUAAAUUAAUAUAUAAAUGUACAUAUAACAAAAAUAUAUCAUAAAUAUAUAAAGUAUAUAUUGUAUAUUCUUAAGACAUAUGUAUUUAAAUAUACACACACAUAUUACAGGGGCAUUUUUUUUUUUUGUCUUUUUGCUUUUUCUAGGGCCACUUCCUGCAGCAUAUUAUGGUUCCUAGGCUAGGGGUCUAAUCGGUGCUGUAGCCACCAGCCUACGCCAGAGGCACAGCAACGCGGGAUCCCAGCCGCCUCUGCAACCUACACCACAGCUCAUCACAACACCGGAU